GUAAACGGAAGGGUUAAACUCAUGUCACAUCUGUAGCUCAGAUUAGCAAUUAGCAUGAGACAGGACACUCAGUAGCAUUACAACUUCCUGUUUAUUGCUCAUUGAAAUUAAUUCCACCUUCAUCACAGAGAAAAUACAGAAGACUUUCUCUGCCACCAUGAAAGCUAUGAAUGCUCUUUUGGUGCUUUCAUUUUUCCUGUUUAUUCAGUUCAUAUGCAAAGUGGAUGGAGCCGAGGCGCUGCAGCAGAAAAUCACACUGACCAAAGCAGAGGAAAAGUUAGCCAUUAUAGACUGUCAGUUACAAGUAAGCUGCUGGGGCUAUAUCCACUGGUAUCUGCAAAAAGAUCAAGAAACCUUAAGGAGAAUUCUGUAUGCUGACAUUAAUGAUGGAUCUGCAAAAAAUGAUGUCGGUUUUGAAUCUGUAAAAUCAGAAAAGAAAGGAUCAAAUCAUUUUGUUCUGAAAAUCACCAAGCUGAAAAUGGAGCAUGCAGCGAUGUAUUACUGUGCAUGCUGGGUCUUAAACAGCACAGUGUGUCUAAAAACCGAAGCCCCGCACAAAAAAACGCAACCCUUCCUCCAAAGAUAAAAACUCUUGAUAAG